CGCACAUACAUUUCUUUAAAAAAGGUAAAGCCAAGAGAGAUAUAAAAACUAGUGCUAUUGCGGCUACACCUCCCGCUUUGUCAGGUAUACUGCGAAGAAUGGCAUGGAUCGGUAGGAAAUACCAUUCCGGCACAAUAUGAGGCGGGGUGGGCAUCGGAUUAGCAGGUAUAUAAUUGUCGGGAUGCCCCAAAACAUUAGGAGCAAAAAAAUCCAAAUGGAAGAAAAGAUAGCAGAAGCUACCCGACCUACAAGAUCCUUUACAUAAAAAUAAGGGUAAGAAGCAAUUUUAUCCAUCUCAGCAUGUACACCCAAUGGAUUAUUUGAUCCAUAUUGAUGCAAUGCGGCCAGAUGAAGAAGACUGGCACCUACUAAAAUAAGGGGGAGUAAAUGAUGGAGACUAAAAAAACGAUUUAAGGUGGCAUUGUCCACAGAGAAACCACCCCAAAGCCAAGUCACUAUGGUAUCUCCUACUACUGGUAUGGCGCUAGCUAAGCUUGUAAUUACUGUUGCUCCCCAAAAGCUCAUCUGACCCCAAGGUGGUACGUAUCCUAUAAAAGCUGUCACAAUCAUUAAUAGGAAUAUGACAACUCCGAGACACCGAACAAAUUCCCUAGGACUCCUAUAACUCGCAUGAUAUAGACCACGAAAAAUAUGAAGGUGAACCACAAUGAGAAACAUACUUGCCCCAUUAGCAUGCAUAUAACGGAGCAACCAGCCCCCUUCAACAUCUCUCAUAAUGUGUUCUACGCUGUUGAAAGCUAGAUCCACAUGAGGUGUGUGAUGCAUAGCUAAAAAAACGCCAGUCACUAUCUGAAUGACUAAACAAAUACCUGCUAACGAACCGAACCCCCACCAAUAACUAAGAUUUCUCGGGGUUGGAUAAUCUAUCAAAUGCUGGUUAAGUGUGGAGUAUAUAGGUUGUUUAAGAAGAGAGAAUCGUUGGUUCCUUAUAGUCAUUUCUCUUUUCUAUCGUUACAACUCCUCUUCCCCCUUAUUUACCCCCUUGCCUUGAUGGAAAUUGGCUUCGCUGCGCCCUGAAUAAUCAAAAAGCUGCAUGAGAAGAUUCAUCCCAUUUUGGCGAGAGGGAGGCAGCGAAUCACCUGGGCUACGGAUUUGUCGGUUAGUUGAUUCUCGAAAUAAGGUCAUUCAGAAAAAAAACUGCCGCUUUCUCUACCGGUUUCUUAAGGCUUCAAACGAACGACUAGUCAUUAAGAAACCCAAGAAAUCCAAGUCUAUUUUUGACCUUUCAUGAAGAAGUUUUGCCCGCGCGCAAACUACCUAGCCCUUUUCAAAAGAACGUCGAUUUCAUCUCAACAAAGAAAGAACUCAAAAUAAAUGAAAGCAAUAUUGUUGUCCUAUUACUCUUUUUUCCUUGUGGAGCUUUGGAAAGGAGAGAAUUUGAAUAAAGUAACUCUCGGAAACUCUUAUUGGACGAGAGAGAGUUAAUAUGAUAUUGGCGUGGGUUCUACCAACUAAACGAAUCAGUUUUGGAUUGGAUAAACAGCGUAUAAUGAUAGACGCUUCUUCGGCACACAUGGAGACAUACCUCCCGUAGCUGACCCCUGAAUUCAAGGAUACUGCCGGCUUUGUUACUAACUGAUAGAAACCCCUUAAUACAACGUUUGUUUUUCGUAAAUGUCAUAAGGUAGGUAGACCCGGUCUUGCGCUCGUCCGGUUAAGUGGCACAUUGUGCUAAGUGAUCGAACCAUUGGCUGAUCUCAGCUAUAUCGCCUCAUACAAAUUAGUUAAGCGAGAAAACAAAUGGCUACAUAGGAGCUCUAUGGUGGACCACCAGCAGGAAGAUCGAAUGGCUUAGCGCAUCCUGCGCCUACUGGACCUGACUUCGUAGGAUACUCUGAUAGACUAGUCGAAUGGCAAUGGCCUAGUGGUUGUAUCUGCUUGCCGAUUCCUAUUAAGAAUACGAGAGUGACAAAUGAGAUGGAGAUCUUGGCUAUCAUCAAACCAUCCUCCCUCCGCUUAUCUCUUUCCUUUCUAUAUGAUAAGUCUACUCACGCCUCAAGGGCCGGGCAUUUACGCUCUCCACUGCAUGAACAACAUUCCCAACUAGAUUUGUACGGCUUCUGUUGUCUCCUUUUCGAUUCCCGACUCUAGCUCACAGGUAUCCAUAAGAGCGACCAGCCCUGAAUGCUUAAACCUAUCAAUCCUCUCCUAAAUUUCUUUCUUUUUGUCGUUGGGCAAGGAGCAAUCCAUCCAACACUUUUCGAUGGGGACCAAAAGCCACUGGGCUACCAAGAAGUCGGAUUCAGUUCAGUCCCGUUUUCAAGAUCCAGUUCAGUGUUUGGGGAUGGCUUGGUCCAAGCCCACAUCCAUAGUAGAUGGACUUGAGCAGGCAAGUAUGCCACCUACUGAUAUGAUUGAUUAUGACAAUUAUGAUAUGGACUGGACGGUUGUGCAACCGAUUGUACUGACUCGCUUACCCCCGAGAACACAUAAGACAUGGGGGUUAUUUAUGCGAGUAAGCCUAGCAAGGACCAAGAUCUCGAUCUAGCCUAGUUGGGGCUUUAGAGUCACAUGAGACAGUACCAAGAACGGGAGAACCAGUAACAAUUGAUACGGAUUUCCAACCAACGGAUCUUCUUACCUUUGGACCGGAACCUUUAGCUGUUUCCUACUCGGUCUACAGCUUGGUUUGAAAUGAGGGAGCCAUACCGUGUGGUUGAAGCAGAGUACCGUUUUGCAGUGGAUAGGGCACUAUCUCUAUUCGUAGCAGCAUUGCGUAUUGCUCUCACUAGGAAAGGGGGACAUAACCCCUACUAUAGAGCAGGAAUGGAAGGGAAUGAGCUCGGCUGCUUCUCCCCCACACUUCUUUAUUUCUGAGAGACCCUAUUUAGUUAGUACUUUCGAGUUAAGAGCGAGAAAACGAACUAUUUCAUUUAAUAAAAAAAGUGCAACGGCUGUAGAGUGAAAAGGCCAUGAGGAUGGCUACGGCUUUGAAGCUCCUUUAUCUACCAUAGAUAGAAUGGAAGAGUUUUUUCUCACUGCACUGAUCCAACAAGGCUAGGGAUAUCCAAUGGGAUGGAGCUAUUUCCCUUGGCACCUUAGAGUCCUCAGACGAUGAACAGAGCACUAGAUGCCCUAAUCUACUCCUAUGCUAAGUGUCUUUGUUUGGUUUGAUUUCUUGUGAAAGCGGCUAGUCCCAUCACUAAAGCAUGCCUGUUCCAUAUGAAAGGUGAUGUAGGUAGGGCUUGUAGGGGAAGUAAGAAAUAGGUGAGACUCGUUAAUGAAACUAUCCUUCAGCCUUAGAUUUCUAGGUUCUGUUUCCACCAUUACUAGUGUUUCGUUGCUUUUCAUAAUAGAAAAAGAUCAACUAAACUAAACCAGAGAUUGUCGUAGAGAUUGGCAGGACUGGGUAUUAUUCUGGGCGAUGAAAUGGAUGGAAUUUCUUGAAACAUAACUCACUUCACUUAUAAUCGAAUUUGGAAAAGGGAGACUAGCUGCUGCAAUAAAUCAAGAAGAAAGCAGGCGCAAAAGAGAAGCUCAAUGAGAGAGAUUCUAGACCGGUCAUGGUUAGGGCUGAUCGAUCGCUCCUUAAAAGGGAGUUAACUGCUUCGAACCAUACAUGAAACUUAUCUCAUAGAGUGAGCUAGCCCCAGAUAGCGAAGGAUAGCUAUUGACUUAUUGGGAAACCCGCCUCCAAUACAUGCUUAUCCCAGACCCCCUAUUCCUUCAAUUUAGGUUUUCAUGGCCGAUUCAAUAACAUAGUUCGCACACCUCUUUUCAAUUCUCUAGAGAUAGUUGUCAUUUAUCUCUUCUUCCGGGUCCCUCCUAUUUGGUUGGAAGUUUCCUGCUCCAGUUGGGAAAGCAAGGGCCCUAGUUUCAUUAUUGAGUCUCGUUAUGGUCGAAUAUGAAUGAAUCCUGGAAUGGAAUAAAAACAUGAGUAAAAUGCAUCGUAGUCCCUCAAUCGAACAAUCAACUAGUUCAUAUCUAACCUUAUGUAUUCUUUUCCCGCACCUUAGCUUCAAAUAAUUGAAUGAAUGAGUGCUAUUUCAGAGUUCAAGUUUAGGUAUUAGCUCGCUACAGUUUAGUCAGUAGUUCUGUCCCUUUGUUCGGUGAACUAGUUCUGGAUAUAAGCAUUAGAAUGAGAGUGGCUACGUAUUCGGAUUACUUGACUUGCUUUCCUGUUUCCGAAUCCCUUCUUGCAUACAAUCCUAAUUCACAAUCCGAUUCUUGCUCGAUUCUAUAAUGAAAAACAGACCUUGUGCCAUGGAUUUGAUGAAGCUUGAAAGGACUCCCCUUGUUCGAAGCCAAAGAUAAGAAGCAUACGGGUGACAACCCCAAUCCUUAUAUAUCAAUCCAAUUACCGGAGGAACGAAGAACUAAGUUUGCCUGACGCCCGAAAACAACUUGUUUGUUUUGGUGGAAGAGGAAGAAAUAGAGAAAGAUCGUCGCUUUUCAUACGCUAAUUCGUGAUUCAAAGUAGAGCGAGUGAGGGAGCUAUACCCGGGACUCAAUCAACAUAUGCCAAGUGUUCCGUAAUCUAUGGGCAGCACUCCGUAGGAAUGUUAUAGUCUAGGCAUGUUGUAGUAGUCAUUAGACAGAAAGAGGAGAAACUUAACAUGUCUUAUUCCGAAUUCCUGCGGUUGUCAUUAUGUUCCAGCAAGGAAAUAGUCAUUCUUUCAUUCCGAGCAUUCGACUAACGACACAAAUUUCUAGUGCUAUAACAGAAACUGCCCUUAACGUGCAAAUGAAAGCCCUCACAACACUCUUUACCUGCAACUGCUCCCGCUUAUGGUAGUAGAUAAAUAGGUGGUGGACAUGUAUCUGCAGCCUCUGCUGCUGGUAGAUUGACUGUUUUAUAUGGACUGAAAAAAAACGGAGGGUAGUGCUUGAGAAUGCUACUCUAUUCCUGGAAUUAGCCAUCCCCUUCUUUGACUAUUCGACCUGCUCCUCGAAGCAAGGAAGGGAAUGAAGAUGGCAAUGAAUGCCCUUUCCGCAAGAAGGAUAGGAGUUGGCUUACCGCAUCUACCUUCUCAUCGCGGGAUAAGGGCUGGGGCGUUAACUUAAGUACUAAAGCUGCUGGAGUGGCUGCCUUCGUUGAUUCCCCACGAAGGAAUCGGAAUAUCGCUACUUCCCUUUACUGCCCUAAGCGGGGGAGAUGGAUUAAAAACCUUGUGUGAAGGAAAGGCUGUCAAAGUCGUUGACCAUUAAUCCGGUUGAAGGACAAAUGGACAGUGAAUCAACGGAAUCGAGUUGUUCUAAGGAUUCGGAUUCGGCAGUCGAGACAUCUAUAUCUAUGGAAUUUCAAAAGAGAGAAAAGGAUCCGAAUCCGACCCGAGGACGAGCUCAAACCUUAGGGUUUGAAAAGAAAAAGUAAAGCUCUCAUUUACUUCAAUCAAAAAAGGUAGGUCAUAACACAGAUUUUAUUAGACCUUACUCAAUCACUCAUCGCUGGAAAAAGUAGAGCGAUUUCCUCGCAAAAAAAGCACGAGCGAGAUAUUCUUCCUUAACAGGGAUCUCAAUUGCGGGAAGAAGUACAAAGGGAAAAGGCAGAAGUGGAAGGGUCAAACUCCUCUAUCGGGGAAAGACAGGAAGGAUCAAAGUGUAAAAUCACUUGUUUGAAACAUCUAUAAAAUAGAAAUGGCUAUUAGAAGUUGUAUUUUCGGUGGUCAAAGGGAAGGAAUCAGAAAAGAGGGAAGCGCUCUCAAGGUAGAAUCAGUUCCAGGCAAGUAUGUCCAUUGAAAGGAAAGAGUCCCUAAACAGACAGGUUUUCAGCAAAUAAGACGAGUCCUGGUCUUCGGCAACAAAAGAAGCCGAAGCGAGAGCUCGAUCAAAGAACCUUUAUAGAUCCUCAUCAUCCUCAGGUUCUGGAUACACAGCGAGAAGGGAAUCUUCCUGUUCGAAUGGAAGAUUGUCGAAAGAGAGGGGAGAAAUCAAUCACAUGCGUGAGCAGAUCGAGCUAUUAUAUAAUAAGUAACGGCUGAAAAAGCUAUUCUUGGUAGAUCCACUUGUCAAGGCGCGGAAAGCCGUGUUCCUUCUCAGCUCACGCUUUCCUGAUUGAUUUGAAAGACCCUACACACCAUCGUAUCCUUGGCUUUCUUCCCACUUUCAAAGAACUUGCUAUCAUUCUUUCGAUUCUAUCUCCUCGCUUUAGGUCUUAUGCUUCUUAUUAAAGGGGUUAUGCCACUCCGAAUCCAUCAGUGUUGAAGGAAUGGACAGAGACAGGCAAAGACAAAGUACUGAUUUUACUACCGAUAGAGAGCAGAGCUGGAGACAAGAUGCCUAGGACCUGGAGGAGAUCCAUAAGAACCAAGUCGUGGAGAAGAUAGCAUCAAACUGGAGAUAAUAAACCUAACUCUCCGUGCUUUAAUCGAGAAUGGAUACAGGGUCAUCGAGUGAAACCUUUAUUAGGGGGUAGACCUACCUUGUUUUGUUGACUUCUUGCUUUCCAGCAAAGCGUGCCGGCCCUAUCUCUAAAGCACCAAACUUCCACAUUUUAGGAUAUGCCCUAUCUUCCCUAAAGAGCCAGCUUAUUGAAUAGAGUUGUCACUCCUUACCUUACCUAAGACCCCUUCGGGAUAUCUUUUGAAAACCUUUUCUCUGAAAAGAAAAGAUAUUUGCGAUCCCUUGCCCGCUCGAUUAAAGAAAGUGGGAUCUGGCCUUGCAUUUUUUAGAUAGGGCUCCCUCACGGCAUUCUUGCUCUUGCAUUUGAAAGUCAAAUCAGGAUUCCAUCUAGAGAAAGGUUCCGAAUGGAACUAGUGAAUGUGUAUGCCGAAUGUAGGCAGGUAUACCUGACCUUUGAUAUUAAGCUAUGAUCUCUCUUCUCUCUCUUGAAGUUCCCACAAAGCGACUCUGAACCUAAGACCGGGUUGUGGGAUGUCUUUUGAUAUUCUAAACUAAGAAAAACGCAAUUGGAUUUCUUUUUAUAUCCCUAUGAUAGGAAAUGAAAGAAAAGGUCGAGCUUAAGCCGAUUCCAUUGCGGAAAGAAAAGAGGCUCUCCCAUUCCCACCUGAUACGUCAAAAGCAAUUGACUAAUAAGGGGAACCAACCAGUCGAAUUCGAUUGAUUAUGUCACUCCGCAUUACUAGAAAAGGGCAGCAGCUUUAUACUAAAAUGGGCUUUGGCACUCCUUCCGCUAUUACUCGAAAUAAUAAUAAUAGUCAAAGGGCAGUCGAAUUUGUGACUACGUCAAAUGCUCGUUUCACUUGAAUUUAAAAGGUGUCACUCCUACUUAUUUCUAUUAAUUAAAGCUUGCCCAUGGCUGCUUUCUUCCCAUUCUUUCUUCUUUCUUCGUCACUAGAUUUCGGUUAAAACGCUUGGUCCACCCAUGCUUUUCCUCUCCAUUUUUCAUAUGGAAAGGGAAAGCAGUGCCAACUUAUUGGAAUUCUGCAUGGCAUAUUUCCCAACCUUCAUUCCUGCUAUUCCAGGCUCUAGUGCUCAGUCAUAAACCUAUUGCCCACUCCGCUUUCCCAUUCCUAUUGCUUUCGGUAUCUGAAUCUUCCUGAAUUCAAGUAGAGAAUACCAGGGCUUUCUUCUUCUUUG
rnacentral:lncRNA from 1 species